UAAGCAUAUCAAUAAGCGGAGGAAAAGAAACCAACAGGGAUUGCCUCAGUAACGGCGAGUGAAGCGGCAACAGCUCAAAUUUGAAAUCUGGCUCACGCCCGAGUUGUAAUUUGUAGAGGAUGCUUCGGGUGAAGCCGCGGUCCAAGUCCCUUGGAACAGGACGUCAUAGAGGGUGAGAACCCCGUACCUGGCCGCCGGUGCCCCCCGCUGUGAAGCUCCUUCGACGAGUCGAGUUGUUUGGGAAUGCAGCUCUAAAUUGGUGGUAAAUUCCAUCUAAAGCUAAAUACCGGCCAGAGACCGAUAGCGCACAAGUAGAGUGAUCGAAAGAUGAAAAGCACUUUGAAAAGAGAGUUAAAAAGUACGUGAAAUUGUUGAAAGGGAAGCGCUUGCGGCCAGACUUGCCCGCGGUUGCUCAGCCCGCCCUCUGGCGGGUGCACUCUUCCGCGGUCAGGCCAGCAUCGGUUUGGGCGGUCGGACAAAGGCGUUGGGAACGUGACCUCCCCUCGGGGAGGUGUUAUAGCCCGGCGCGCAAUGCGACCAGCCUGGACCGAGGUUCGCGCUCUGCUAGGAUGCUGGCGUAAUGGCCGUAAGCGGCCCGUCUUGAAACACGGACCAAGGAGUCUAACAUCUAUGCGAGUGUUUGGGUGUCAAACCCGUGCGCGUAAUGAAAGUGAACGGAGGUGGGAACCUUAGGGUGCACCAUCGACCGAUCCUGAUGUCUUCGGAAGGAUUUGAGUAAGAGCAUAGCUGUUGGGACCCGAAAGAUGGUGAACUAUGCGUGAAUAGGGUGAAGCCAGAGGAAACUCUGGUGGAGGCUCGCAGCGGUUCUGACGUGCAAAUCGAUCGUCAAAUUUGCGUAUAGGGGCGAAAGACUAAUCGAACCAUUUAGUAGCUGGUUCCUGCCGAAG
rnacentral:rRNA from 1 species